GUGAAGUCUUAGGAGCCAAAAAUCUCCCCAACCCCUCCCUUUCUUGAAGUCAAGAAAAUUAAUGAAAAACAGUCAUGCAUGGGAAUACUCCAUUAUGAAGAAGGAAAACUCAGUGCAAACAUAUCAUUUGAAGGGGCUUGCAGGUGGACCUGCAAGGGUCAAAGCCACACAAAACCAAAGAGUAAGGUCAAGUUCUAAAAUAUUUGUAUUCCACUGACUGCAAUGAAGGCUAAUGUGUGCCCUAAUUAAAUUGCUAAAUACUUCAUAUCUGUAAUGAGCUUAGGGAAAGGAAUCUAUUGUUUCAUUUUAGCAUUCAGUUUUAAGAAAGUUUUUAUUUAAUCCAGCUUUACCAAUUCUACUGAUUUGGGGCACG
rnacentral:lncRNA from 1 species